rnacentral:rRNA from 1 species
GUGCCAGCAGCCGCGGUAAUACGGAGGUGGCGAGCGUUGUUCGGAAUUACUGGGCGUAAAGGGCGCGUAGGCGGGGGGAGAAGUCGGGUGUGAAAGCCCUCGGCUCAACCGAGGAACGGCGCUCGAGACUCUCUUUCUUGAGUCCCGGAGAGGCGGGUGGAAUUCCUGGUGUAGCGGUGAAAUGUGUAGAGAUCAGGAGGAACACCGGUGGCGUAAGCGGCCCGCUGGACGGAGACUGACGCUGAGGCGCGAAAGCGUGGGGAGCAAACGGGAUUAGAAACCCCCGUAGUCC